GUUAACAACUUGUAACAAGCUUGAUAGCAUUAUCAGACUUGUUACAAGGUUGUUCUAACUAGUCUAACACAGUCAUGACGUAACAAGAAUGCUACAAAGUUGAUAACACAAGGUUGUAACAAUAUUAUUAUAGCAUGCCCGUUAUAUCAUACCCGACUUGUUGGAACAACCUUGCAACAAGUCUGAUAAUAUCAACAAGGUUGUUGCAAGUCGUUAGC